rnacentral:rRNA from 1 species
UACGUAGGGCGCAAGCGUUGUCCGGAAUUAUUGGGCGUAAAGAGCUCGUAGGCGGUCUGUCGCGUCCGUUGUGAAAACUCGAGGCUCAACCUCGGGCUUGCAGUGGAUACGGGCAGACUAGAGUGCGGUAGGGGAGACUGGAAUUCCUGGUGUAGCGGUGGAAUGCGCAGAUAUCAGGAGGAACACCGGUGGCGAAGGCGGUUCUCUGGGCAUUACCUGACGCUGAGGAGCGAAAGUGUGGGGAGCGAACAGG